rnacentral:rRNA from 1 species
AGUGAACGCUGGCGGUAGGCCUAACACAUGCAAGUCGAACGGCAGCACAGUAAGAGCUUGCUCUUACGGGUGGCGAGUGGCGGACGGGUGAGGAAUACAUCGGAAUCUACUUUUUCGUGGGGGAUAACGUAGGGAAACUUACGCUAAUACCGCAUACGACCUACGGGUGAAAGCAGGGGAUCUUCGGACCUUUCGCGAUUGAAUGAGCCGAUGUCGGAUUAGCUAGUUGGCGGGGUAAAGGCCCACCAAGGCGACGAUCCGUAGCUGGUCUGAGAGGAUGAUCAGCCACACUGGAACUGAGACACGGUCCAGACUCCUACGGGAGGCAGCAGUGGGGAAUAUUGGACAAUGGGCGCAAGCAUGAUACAGCCAUACCGCGUGGGUGAAGAAGGACUUCGGGUUGUAAAGCCCUUUUGUUGGGAAAGAAAAGCAGCAGGUUAAUACCCCGCUGUUCUGACGGUACCCAAAGAAUAAGCACCGGCUAACUUCGUG